rnacentral:misc_RNA from 1 species
GAUGAAGAACGUAGCGAAAUGCGAUAAGUAGUGUGAAUUGCAGAAUUCAGUGAAUCAUCGAAACUUUGAACGCACAUUGCGCCCCUUGGUAUUCCAUGGGGCAUGCCUGUUCGAGCGUCAUUUGUACCCUCAAGCUUUGCUUGGUGUUGGGUGUUUGUCCUCUCCUUUGCGUUUGGACUCGCCUUAAAGCAAUUGGCAGCCAGUGUUUUGGUAUUGAAGCGCAGCACAUUUUGCGAUUCUAGCCGAUAAUACUUGCGUCCAUAAGCCUUUUUUAACUUUUGACCUCGGAUCAGGUAGGGAUACCCGCUGAACUUAAGCAUAUCAAUAAGCGGAGGA